rnacentral:rRNA from 1 species
UACGUAGGGUGCAAGCGUUAUCCGGAAUUAUUGGGCGUAAAGAGCUCGUAGGCGGUUUGUCGCGUCUGCUGUGAAAACUGGGGGCUCAACCCCCAGCCUGCAGUGGGUACGGGCAGACUAGAGUGCGGUAGGGGAGAUUGGAAUUCCUGGUGUAGCGGUGGAAUGCGCAGAUAUCAGGAGGAACACCGAUGGCGGAAGGCAGAG